GCCUAAAGCCAUACCACCUCAGUCAUACUGUGAUCUUGUCUGAUUUCAUAAAUUAAACAGGCACGAGCCUGAUCAGGACUCGGAUGUGAGACCACCAAGGCUAUCACAAGUGCAGCAGGAC
rnacentral:rRNA from 1 species